UACGUAGGGGGCAAGCGUUGUCCGGAAUUAUUGGGCGUAAAGAGCUCGUAGGCGGUUUGUUGCGUCGGCUGUGAAAUCCCGAGGCUCAACCUCGGGUCUGCAGUCGAUACGAGCAAACUAGAGUGUUGCAGGGGAGACUGGAAUUCCUGGUGUAGCGGUGAAAUGCGCAGAUAUCAGGAGGAACACCGGUGGCGAAGGCGGGUCUCUGGGCCGAAACUGACGCUGAGAAGCGAAAGCAUGGGGAGCGAACAGG
rnacentral:rRNA from 1 species